ACGGAGGAUGCAAGCGUUAUCCGGAUUCAUUGGGUUUAAAGGGUGCGCAGGCGGAUUAAUAAGUCAGUGGUGAAAUCCUACGGCUCAACUGUAGAACUGCCAUUGAUACUGUUAGUCUUGAGUAUUGUUGAGGUAGGCGGAAUGUGUCAUGUAGCGGUGAAAUGCUUAGAUAUGACACAGAACACCAAUCGCGAAGGCAGCUUACCAAGCAAUAACUGACGCUCAUGCACGAAAGCGUGGGGAUCAAACAG
rnacentral:rRNA from 1 species